rnacentral:rRNA from 1 species
AUUGAACGCUGGCGGCAUGCCUUACACAUGCAAGUCGAACGGCAGCACGGGAGCAAUCCUGGUGGCGAGUGGCGAACGGGUGAGUAAUAUAUCGGAACGUGCCCAGUCGUGGGGGAUAACGUAGCGAAAGCUACGCUAAUACCGCAUACGAUCUACGGAUGAAAGCAGGGGAUCGCAAGACCUUGCGCUCUGGGAGCGGCCGAUGUCGGAUUAGCUAGUUGGUGGGGUAAAGGCCUACCAAGGCGACGAUCCGUAGCGGGUCUGAGAGGAUGAUCCGCCACACUGGGACUGAGACACGGCCCAGACUCCUACGGGAGGCAGCAGUGGGGAAUUUUGGACAAUGGGCGAAAGCCUGAUCCAGCCAUGCCGCGUGAGUGAAGAAGGCCUUCGGGUUGUAAAGCUCUUUCGGUGGGGAAGAAAUUGCAUAGGCUAAUACCCUGUGUAGAUGACGGUACCUGGAGAAGAAGCACCGGCUAACUACGUG